GCAAAGAUUUCUUUCGUGACUCUUCCAUUUUUUAAGAUUUCAAUAGAUAAAAUGAAGUUUGAAAUCUUGCCUCGAUCAAUCGUACAUCAUCCUUUCUUUUUUCUCAUGUUCUUCAAAGAAACACCAGCAGCUUCAAACAAACUAUUAGUAAUCCCUCCAUGGAUAUCGAUUCUUCUUCCUUCAAGCAAAGAAGGAUCUUCAAAAGUUACCACUCGAACAAUCAUGAGAGGACCUUCAUGCUGAUUUAUCACAAAUUCAGCUCAGUUAAAAGACCACACAAGUUCCCUUUAACAUUACUACAUCAGUGACAAUUAUCAUACGCAUUGAAUAAUACUUUCCACUGCAAUGAAUAUACCCCCACAAACGUCUUCUAUUGCUUGGGAGGUGGCCAAACAUUUUAGGAUAGUCUUGUUCAAAUUAGAAGGAUUAAUAAUCAAAACCCUUUGAAAAGUAUUGCAUGAAGUCUAAUAGAUUUUAGUCCAAUUGUUGGGGGAGUAUCUCCUACGAUUAAUAACAUUUUUUCCCACAGAAUCUUCCCACAUUCUUAUGGCCAAUAACUGAGACUCUUCCUUCUUCUCCAAACUCCUUUCCCAAUGUCUUGACAACCCUUGUUUUCAUUUUUUACCCUCGCAUAUUUAACUCCUCCAAAUAAGAUUUAGUUCGUUUCAGAAUUCUUUCAAUUUCUGCCCAACGUCUAUUUUCCUUUGCACCAUUGAAAAGGUUGUUUGUUAGGUACUUAAGCACCUUGGAGAACCACACCCCAAAAGCCAAGUAUUGGGGUGGAAGAGUCGAGCAACGUAAGUAUCACAAUGGUCAUCUCAUUCAAACCAACAUGGGACAAAGGCAUUCCAUACUACCUUGGUUCCUAACAUUGUUUACAUGUUUAAAAACUUCCUCCAUUGAGACGAAACAUCUCAUUAAAUUUUCUUUCAAUCGAGAAUAAAAUAUCUUGGAUAUCCAUACGAAACCAUCCUCUUUUGUUCGAACUUUUGGGUUCCAAAUGAAUCCAUUUUCACAAUGAAUCUUACUAGAGAACUUAUUAAGAGACGUAUGAGUAAGUCUUCCAAAGUAUCAGUCAUCCAAAUGACAGACCUUGAUUCAAGAGCUAUCUCAAAGGAUGGAGUUAAUUCUUUCUGCAUUAACAUAAAAAAUCCUUUUUUCCUACACUUACUUUCGAACUGACUUAGUUUGAUUACAUUUCACUAUCACAGUUUCACGGAUAGACUCAGGACUUCCAUCCUGAGCAUCUAACAUUUAGCCAAAGGCCUAAAUAAAGGUUCCUUGUGCCAAAAAAACUACAUAGAAACUUUUCUACAUCCCCUUUUAAUGUUACUUUGAAAUUGGGUAAUUUACUUCCCAAGAGCUUAGGAGGAGGAGAUGCCACAUUCCAUCUUUUUAUUAUAAAAUAUAAAGUAUUCAAGUGACUAGGCCUAAUCAAAUCAUCAUAUUAAGAACCACUAAAUUUUCAUUAGGUCAUAGAAUUGUAAAUAAAUUUCGUUAUUUUAGGUUGAAAUCCUAUCAUGUAGUUCUUUGACUCCUUAUCCCGCGAAAAAGAGUCAAAUCAUGAACAUGAACCGCUAAAUUCAGCAUCCCUCUUUUAGUGCAGACGUUAACAUAUCAUUUCUGCUUAGCUUUGAAGUUCUAACGCUUUAAGAAAGCUAGUCAUAGGUUAGACUUCUCCCUCUGUAUGAAAAAGAACG
rnacentral:lncRNA from 1 species